UUUUUUUUUUUUUUUUUUUUUUAAAUUAAACAGAAAAGAUUUGACAUGCAAAGUCAAGUUGAUGGAGUCUGUUGUGGGGACUCAGUGAUGUGCUGAGGAAAGUGCUCUGGGUGUGGGUGUGGGGACUGGAGUGGGACAGAGGAGAAGGAUGGGUCCCAACUGCAGCCUUGAAGCUAUUGAUUUGACCCCGUGCGCCACCCAGGUAAGGCAGCAGCAGGCAGGACGACACGGGGCUUGAAGGAUCAGACGGGUGGGAGCCACAGUUUUACAUUUGGGCAGCUCGGAUACUCUGCCACUAUUACACACCCCAGAGCUGGCACCUCUCCCUGCCACGCAUGUCACAGGUGACCUGCUGAGGGCCCACACACACCAUGUAUACCCCUUUCAAUGAACUAGAGGCCCAGAGUAGGGGUGGACUCCAAGACUGCCCGCCCCAGGAGAUGGUUCCCCAUGACUGGUUGGGCCAGGAGGUCUCUCCUGGACUCCUGCAGCUUCAGUGCCCAGCUCUGAAAGGGCUUCCUGGGGCCACUUCCUGAAAUACACACACACAGGAACGGCUCAUGGAAGGGCCUGGCCACAGCAAUCACCUCCGUCCCUACAAGACACCUUGGAGGACUGGAGAUGGGAGACUGCUGAGGUGUUCUUUCUCUGCACAGGAAAGUGCACUGCAGGUGAAAUGGGGCAUGUUAUGGAGCUCACGGAACCCUGCUCACAUCCGGGCCUACCAUAAGCUAUCCAGGGGGUCUCCUUUGUUAGAAUCUCAUUUAACAGAUUCCUCAACCUGGCAUUGGUGGGCUUUGAGGGUAUGAAGAGUUCAGCACCAGGACCUCACCUUAUAAGCCUUCCCGCACUCACACAGGAGGCCUUGCUGUACCCCCAGCCUCUGCUCCCCACCCUGGGCCUGUGCGUUUGCUGUGCACAUCUCCUGGGAUGCCAUCACAACCCCACCUACCCUUCCCGAGCAUACCCAGAGCCGACGUGCUCCACAAGGACCUCUCCAAGUGCACCCCCAGGUCUCCUGUGAGGAACCAGCCCUCACCUUUCCCUGACACUUCAUCAGUUCCUUCCCUCCCUUCCUGCCUCUCUCCCAUCUCCUCCAGCAACACUAGGAUGGUGCUUGCCCUGGCCUCACAAGGACUGUGCUUUAUGCAUGUGCCUCUACCACUAGGUGCUAUGACCCCAAAGAACAGUCUCCCUGUUUCUCCAAAUCUCUGUCUCCCCAGCAGUCAGCACCCUGCAGUCACUUUGUCAGCAAUGGAUUAAUGAUUACAGGAGUCAAGCUGCCCUGUGUGGAAUGUGGACUCAGUCCUAGUUUCAUCCUGGUUCACAUUUGCAGCUGUGAAAACCCUGCAACCACAGUAAGAAGAUGAGGGAGGAGGUCCUGACUUGCUCCGUCCAGGCUGGAAGCCCAGAGAGCUUGGUGGGGAAAAGGGUGGGACAGCAACACAGGUGGGGUUCAUCUAUUUCAAAUGGAUUACUUUAAAUACUAACAGGUGGCAUUUAAAAGUUGCUCUGUAGGUGGAGGGGAGAGGAUUGUAGUAGCUGGACAGGCUUCGCUACAAGGAAAAGGAAAGAAUUGCACGUGGAGGCAUUUUCUCCCCAAAUUUUCUUGACCUUAAAAAAAAUGAAAGAUUCAAUUCCCUUCUGACCUUAAAAAAACGAAAGAUUCAAUUCCCUUUUCUAUCUGCAAUCCGCUUGGCCAGCCUCUUGAUCCCUUUUGAUACGCGUGUUUUGAUCCGGGCUCACGCAAAGCCCGUGGACCACCUUUUCAGUUUAAGAAGCAGCAGCUGCUGCCUGAUUCUCUUUUAAGUGGCCUGCGUACCUGCCGUGCCAAAGGGCUUCCUCCAAGACCCACCUCCCAGACCCUCCUCAGCCACCCAAGGACUGGCCCUGGCAUGAAGAAGACAAAGGUACCAUACCCUCUUCCUGUACACUCCCACUUGUCCCUCAUUUUCAUUUCAUGAUGGGAGACUGGUCUGAAUCACAGUUGCGCUGAACCCUUUGGGGAGAUUCAGAGAGCACCUGUUCCUGGAAAGCUUUCCUGCCAAUCCAGGUGGGGCGGUCCACCAGCCUCCCUUCCCUGUCCGCCAGCCAAAAUGUAAAGAAUAUACAAAUUUAAGAGAGGGAGGCAGAGACAAUUCUUUUUCCUUCUUUCCCCAGCUGGCA
ensembl:lncRNA